GACGUAGGGCGCGAGCGUUGUCCGGAUUUAUUGGGCGUAAAGAGCUCGUAGGCGGCUUGUCGCGUCGAAUGUGAAAUCCUGCGGCUCAACUGCAGGCUUGCAUUCGAUACGGGCAGGCUCGAGUUCGGUAGGGGAGACUGGAAUUCCUGGUGUAGCGGUGAAAUGCGCAGAUAUCAGGAGGAACACCGGUGGCGAAGGCGGGUCUCUGGGCUGAUACUGACGCUGAGGAGCGAAAGCGUGGGGAGCGAACAGG
rnacentral:rRNA from 1 species